GUGCUCGUUUCAGCAGCACAUAUACUCAAAUUGGAACAAUACAGAGGAGAUUAGCAUGGCCCUUGUGCAAAGAUGACACACAAAUUCGUGAAGUGUUCUAUAUUUAA